rnacentral:ncRNA from 1 species
UUUAAGUUUGGCUCUGGCUUAUAUUAUAAAUAAAUCUUUAUAAAAUACAUGGUUUGUUAUCAACAAGGCAAAGCCUAAGUAAUUUGCACUAAAUUUAAGAUUACUUGUAAAUUACCUUAAGGGUUAUUAUCUUAAUACAUGAUAACACUAAUCUUUGCUAACCCAGUAUUGAAGAUUAAAAACAAAAGAAAUUUAGAUUUAGUAAUAGAUAUUAUUCUUGGCUAAGUCUGUGCCAGCAGCUGCGGUUAUACAGACAAGGAAAUUUAUAAAUGAAUCGGUAAAAAGGACAGUUAUAGAAUUAACCAUAAGUUAAAUCGUUUCAUGAAGAGGUAGAAUUCACACAUGAUCCAUUUCCUAACUAACUUAACUCUCUAGAAGCUGUGAAAUUACUAAUCAAAACCAGGAUUAGAUACCCUGCUAUUAGUAACAUAAAUUUUUUUUCCUCCUCAUUAACCACCAGGGAAUUACAGAGUUAUCUCUGAAACCCAAAGAGCUUGGCGGUACCUCAAACCCCAUUAGGGGAACCUGUUCCAUAAUCGAUAAUCCGCGCAGGACCUUACUUUCUUUUACUUAGUUUGUAUACCGUCGUCGUCAGACAACUUUUAAGAAAAUAGUAGUUCUCUACAAUAAACUGUUUAUAGACGUCAGAUCAAGGUGCAGCCAAUAAGAAAGAGAGAAAUGGGUUACAAUUUUUAAAUUGAAAUACGGACUUUUAGUUGAAACACUUUAACAAAGGAGGACUUAAAAGUAAUUCUAGUAAGAAUAAAUGAAUGAAUAAGGCUCUGAGGUGUGCACACAUCGCCCGUCGCUCUCGCUGAAAAGUGAGAUAAGUCGUAACAUAGUAAGAGUAAUGGAAGUUGCCCUUAGUUGAGU